rnacentral:sRNA from 1 species
CCCUCUGGGGCCAGGGUCGGGUGAUUGGGAGGAGCUGCGAGGUACCGGGCCCUUGGAUUAGUUGCCGUUGAAGGAGCCUCCGCCAAUGAAAUCUUCUCUGCGCUCUGAUUUGGCGGUUCUUCUGUGCAAAUAUGACAGCUUUCUCUCUCAGCUCUUUCCUGCAUCUCUCCAUGUCCGUCCCCAGAGCCCAGCUCUUCAUCUGCAAUUUCUACACCACAACCUUUGCAACCACCACCACCACCACCACCACCACCACCACCACCACCACCACCACCACCACCAUGACCACCCCUAGUUCCCAUGCCAGCAAGUGCCGGGUUGCUACAAAGGUGACAGGGCACAUUGGGAAGAAGGCUUGUUGCUUGCAGAAGACACUAAGACCUGUGUUUCCAGAGCUAUGAAGCGCAAGUGAGCGGGUCUAAGACUGUCAGAGGGAUUCUCCAGAAAAAGUGUACUCCAGAAGCUUGCCACAAACUGGAUUUAAGGUACUGGUAAUGAAUUCAACAAAAUGUUGAAUGACAGGCAAUAUUUUCUUACCUAUCAAUGAUAGGAAGCUACCAAGAAUUUUUAGAUCUAACUGAAGAGAAAAAAGAAACCUCUUCUACUUUAGAACCACAGAUAAAAUAUCCGAUGCUACAAAUGGAGGUUUCAGAAAGAGGCCAUGCUACUUGUACAUCAGGAAGCUGAUUCUAGGGGUGAUGUCUAGCUGGCCGAUACUGUACAAAUAAUGUGGAAGCUUGAAAUAAGUAUGAUCUUAUGGACAAUGAAGGUUGUUUAAAUAUUCAAAUUAGUGAAGGAGCCAAAGUUAGAGACAUUGUCAGUGGCCACAAAGGAAGAUCUCAAGCCCUUGUUUUAUAGCAGUCAGAAAGGACAAGUAAAACACCAGUCAUUGAGUACCAUGGUCUAAUCUCUAUGACUUAGUGAAUAAAUCAAGGAUAGGAUAGACAUUCUCUACCCAAGGCACUAUUUUUAGGGUAUAUUUCUGAUCUCUUCUAUAUGCUUCUUGCUUAUUAACUUUAAAAUGUUUGUGUUUUAGAAGUAAACACUGCUUAUAUAGCAAUGAGUGUUUCUCAUACAUGGACACUUCUGUAAUUUCUCUUGAACAAGACACUUGGCAUAGUUGCUAUAGUUUGUUCUAAUUAGGUAAUGGCCAUGGGGAUGGGGCAAGGCAACUAAGAACUGGAGCCCUCUCUCACAGAAUGAACUAAAAAGCUAGAAGUCUAUCUUCAACCGUGAUUCAUACUUUCUCUUUGCUUGACUAUCCCUGAGAAUGUUCUGUACGGAUUCUAUCCAUUUUGUCCCAGAGUUGACUAACAGUUACACAUGACAGAAUGAAAAUGGAGGACAAGAAAUUGAAGGUAGAGUGAUAGGUCAGCCACUCAGGUUCUGAUGCUGGACAAUUCUAUGCCAUCACAUUGAUGUCAGCAUCUGCUGGAAAAUAUCGGAGAGGAAUGUAAGGGAGGAGCACUACUAAUAUGUAAGAAAUAGACUGGUUUUUAGGGCUAAACUGCAAUUUUUCUUUUCAAAUUCCCACUCUCUCCAUUCAGGUAUUAUCGACUGCCUAAAUAAAAAUAAUAUAUAUUAUGUGACUAUCAAGAACUAUGUGGUUGGAAUCAAGGACGUUCUAUUUAGGCAGGAAAGGAAUACUGUAUCCCAAGUCCUGCCAGUAAAUACUGUAUUUCAUUCCCUUUCUUUACUUUUAUGGACUCAACAGUCUUGUAUAAGCCAUGGGUUCUAAGUACCUGUUUUUCUUGACCGACCAUCAAUGAAUAAGAAUGAAAUUCUUAUUCUGAAGCAGAGGACAACCUUGACUUGUCACAGAAAGGACUUCAACAAUCGCUGGGUCCCAAAAACAUCAACAAUGAGAAAUAUCCAUUUUCUUAAUAACUGGAACCAUGUCUAAAACACAGCCAAUACUAAAACUGCAUAAACUAAGGCACCAUAAUCGAUGGUUCCCAAUUUUUCUUCUUUCCCAUCUCUUAAUUUGAGCAUGUUUUCCAACCCUUAAUGGUGAAUAAGCAUUCACUCAUGCCCAAUUACUCAAUUGACUUUUUGGUUCUAGGAAGUAUUGUAUUGUCACCAGGUGAUAUGCACCAUAAAUUCUGGCACUAUACUUGUUGGUGGUAGAUAUAUUACCCCUUCUUAAAUUAUUACUGGACAAUUUCUUGACCAUAAUUGUGUCUAAUCUGGGGUGGAGUCAACUAUACCCAGGCUGUAAGUACAAUGGACUAUUUUUCCGUUGGACAAGCUAGAUUUUCUGUUUACUUAUUGAGAUUCAACUCUGUGUAAUGUAGUUAGUUGCUUAAAGCUCAACAGUUGCAGAAGAUAGUUUUCAAAAUCUCUCUAGAAAACAUGAUGCUUGUCAUGGAAACGUUCUAAAACUUGUGCUAGGCUAGAAGUGGUACUUGUUAUUGAGUUUAACAUUUGGGUCUACAAAAUUCUAUAUAUGCUAAUACAAAUUUUUUAAAAGUUUUCAAAUAUUUAUUCUACACUUGAUCUUAGCCAAAAGGCCGAGAAGCGAUCAAAUAUUUAUUCUACUUUAUGUGUACUUGUGCUUUGCCUCCAUGUAUGUCUGUGUAAUAUGUACAUGCAGUGGCCCCUGAAGCCAGAAGAGGUCAU